UUGAACGCUGGCGGAAUGCUUUACACAUGCAAGUCGAACGGCAGCACGGGGGCAACCCUGGUGGCGAGUGGCGAACGGGUGAGUAAUGUAUCGGAACGUACCCAGUCGUGGGGGAUAACUAUCCGAAAGGAUAGCUAAUACCGCAUACGUCCUGAGGGAGAAAGCGGGGGAUCGCAAGACCUCGCGCGAUUGGAGCGGCCGAUAUCGGAUUAGCUAGUUGGUGGGGUAAAGGCCUACCAAGGCGACGAUCCGUAGCGGGUCUGAGAGGAUGAUCCGCCACACUGGGACUGAGACACGGCCCAGACUCCUACGGGAGGCAGCAGUGGGGAAUUUUGGACAAUGGGGGCAACCCUGAUCCAGCCAUUCCGCGUGAGUGAAGAAGGCCUUCGGGUUGUAAAGCUCUUUCGGCCGGGAAGAAAUCGCAUCUUCUAAUACGGGGUGUGGAUGACGGUACCGGAAGAAGAAGCACCGGCUAACUACGU
rnacentral:rRNA from 1 species